rnacentral:rRNA from 1 species
GACGAACCGUGCGAACGUUGUUCGGAUUCACUGGGCUUAAAGGGCGCGUAGGCGGGCGACCAAGUCAGGGGUGAAAUCUUUCGGCCCAACCGGAAAAGUGCCCCUGAUACUGGCCGCCUCGAGGGGGGUAGGGGCAUGCGGAACUUCCGGUGGAGCGGUGAAAUGCGUAGAUAUCGGAAGGAACGCCGGUGGCGAAAGCGGCGUGCUGGACCACUUCUGACGCUGGGGCGCGAAAGCCAGGGGAGCAAACGGG